rnacentral:rRNA from 1 species
CCUACGGGGGGCAGAAGUGGGGAAUAUUGGACAAUGGGCGAAAGCCUGAUCCAGCCAUGCCGCGUGUGUGAAGAAGGCCUUCGGGUUGUAAAGCACUUUCAGUGGGGAAGAAAGCCUUGGGGCUAAUACCCUCGAGGAAGGACAUCACCCACAGAAGAAGCACCGGCUAACUCCGUGCCAGCAGCCGCGGUAAUACGGAGGGUGCGAGCGUUAAUCGGAAUUACUGGGCGUAAAGCGCGCGUAGGCGGUCUGAUAAGCCGGUUGUGAAAGCCCCGGGCUCAACCUGGGAACGGCAUCCGGAACUGUCAGGCUAGAGUGCAGGAGAGGAAGGUAGAAUUCCUGGUGUAGCGGUGAAAUGCGUAGAGAUCGGGAGGAAUACCAGUGGCGAAGGCGGCCUUCUGGACUGACACUGACGCUGAGGUGCGAAAGCGUGGGUAGCAAACAGGAUUAGAUACCCGAGUAGUC